rnacentral:tRNA from 1 species
GGGGCUGUGGGGUAACUUGGCUAUCCUUGUAGCUUCGGGAGCUAUAGAUUCCGGUUCAAAUCCGGACAGCCCCACCA